CUCAUCCUUAAUCAUCCGCAGCCAUUGAGAGAGAGUUACCGUAAACAGAGAGAGACGCGGAGAGAGGUCGCCGGCCAGAGCCCGCCGUUUGCGCCACCGACGGCCAGAGUCCGCCGUUUGCGCCAUCGCCGGCCAGACGCGGAGAGAGGUCGCCGCCAACGUUCACCGCAACCGACUCCGUCACAAUGCAAACGCCGUCACCACCCGUCAUCCCUUCUGGUCGCAACGCCAGCCCCACCUCCGCCAAGCCAGCCGCCGUCGCCGAUCGAAGGAUCCGUCAUCACCGGUCAAAGGCCCGCCAUCGCCGGCGUCUGCCGUUGCAGCCGCCAUCGCCGGUGUCGAAGCGUCGUUCGCCGCUGUCCUCAUCAACAAAUCGCAGUCGGGAAGCCCAGCCUCGCCACCGCCUCCUCCAUCGUCCGUCGCCGGUGCUGCCUGAAGGAGGAGGGAAGCAGCGACGCCGCCGGAAAACCAGCUUCGCCGCCGCAACCGUGGCCGUAUCCCUUCGCCGGACAUCUUCAUUGUUGCCGUAAAAAAUGGAUAGCCAUCCGUUGCAUCUCUCAUUCCGUGGUCUCAAUUCUCCAGUCACAACCACCCCAGGAUGCUUGAUUAUUACCCUCGGCGGAGGCUCAUUGCGGAAAGGAAAACGAAAACAAUUCGAAGAACAAAAUAUGCACCAAUCAGUAACAUAUCCAGACUCAAAACUCUCUUGUCCUGCCCAAUAGAAUGUAGACUGAAGUUGUAGAGGGUGACAUGCAAUCCAAGCCUAAUUCAGAAACCUGUGGUGUGCAUUUUUGCAUGAAGCUGGGAAUUCACCUGAAUGUGAAGUAUGUACAGAAUGAGUUGUAGAUUACUGAAGUACUGUGGAAUCAUACAUUAUGGAGGCAUCUGAUGCAAGAAGUUGAGGGACAACGAAGCAAACCAGAGAUGACAUGGCUUCGUUUGGACCGCAGCGCUAAACGGUAUUAUCUUCGCACUGGGCCAUAAGUUCUGAUUUUGUGGGUCUAUAUCACAUCACCAACUUGGUUUAUUGCACUAGUUUUCACAUGCCUAAACUUUAAUGCAUAAAAUUUUGAAGAAAAAAUAUUACUUAUACUCUCAAUUUCUACUCUUAAUUUUUACUCUUUCUUACAAAUCUUAGAUGUAGACAACUUUUCUUGGACCCACAAGAUGAAAUAUAUUCUAUCCAUGCUUUCCAUAUGAGAGAGUAUAAUUGAUAGAGUA